rnacentral:rRNA from 1 species
ACACUCCUGCGGGAGGCAGCAGUGGGGAAUUUUGGACAAUGGGCGAAAGCCUGAUCCAGCAAUGCCGCGUGUGUGAAGAAGGCCUUCGGGUUGUAAAGCACUUUUGUCCGGAAAGAAAUCCUUGGCUCUAAUACAGUCGGGGGAUGACGGUACCGGAAGAAUAAGCACCGGCUAACUACGUGCCAGCAGCCGCGGUAAUACGUAGGGUGCGAGCGUUAAUCGGAAUUACUGGGCGUAAAGCGUGCGCAGGCGGUUUGCUAAGACCGAUGUGAAAUCCCCGGGCUCAACCUGGGAACUGCAUUGGUGACUGGCAGGCUAGAGUAUGGCAGAGGGGGGUAGAAUUCCACGUGUAGCAGUGAAAUGCGUAGAGAUGUGGAGGAAUACCGAUGGCGAAGGCAGCCCCCUGGGCCAAUACUGACGCUCAUGCACGAAAGCGUGGGGAGCAAACAGGAUUAGAAACCCGGGUAGUCCCAUGA